UACGGGGGGGGCAAGCGUUGUUCGGAAUUACUGGGCGUAAAGGGCUCGUAGGUGGCCAACUAAGUCAGACGUGAAAUCCCUCGGCUUAACCGGGGAACUGCGUCUGAUACUGGAUGGCUUGAGUUCGGGAGAGGGAUGCGGAAUUCCAGGUGUAGCGGUGAAAUGCGUAGAUAUCUGGAGGAACACCGGUGGCGAAGGCAGGUCUCUGGGCUAUAACUGACGCUCAUGCACGAAAGCGUGGGGAGCAAACAGG
rnacentral:rRNA from 1 species